rnacentral:rRNA from 1 species
UACGGAGGGUGCGAGCGUUGUCCGGAAUCACUGGGCGUAAAGGGCGCGUAGGCGGCCACCGCAAGUCGACUGUGAAGUCUCCGGGCUUAACCCGGAAAGGUCAGCCGAUACUGCGGGGCUAGAGUGCAGAAGGGGCAACUGGAAUUCUCGGUGUAGCGGUGAAAUGCGUAGAUAUCGAGAGGAACACCUAUGGCGAAGGCAGCUCUCUGGGACGGUACUGACGCUGAGACGCGAAAGCGUGGGGAGCGAACAGG